CCUACGGGUGGCAGCAGUGAGGAAUAUUGGUCAAUGGGCGGAAGCCUGAACCAGCCAAGUCGCGUGAGGGAUUAAGGCCCUGCGGGUCGUAAACCUCUUUUGCCGGGGAGCAGUGGUCCGGACGCGUCCGGACCGGGAGAGUACCCGGAGAAAAAGCAUCGGCUAACUCCGUGCCAGCAGCCGCGGUAAUACGGAGGAUGCGAGCGUUAUCCGGAUUUAUUGGGUUUAAAGGGAGCGUAGAUGGGUUGUUAAGUCAGUUGUGAAAGUUUGCGGCUCAACCGUAAAAUUGCAAUUGAUACUGGCAGCCUUGAGUACAGUUGAGGUAGGCGGAAUUCGUGGUGUAGCGGUGAAAUGCUUAGAUAUCACGAAGAACUCCGAUUGCGAAGGCAGCCUACUAAACUGCCACUGACAUUGAUGCUCGAAAGUGUGGGUAUCAAACAGGAUUAGAUACCCUAGUAGUC
rnacentral:rRNA from 1 species